UGGGGGAUAUUGCACAAUGGGGGAAACCCUGAUGCAGCAACGCCGCGUGAGCGAAGAAGGUCUUCGGAUUGUAAAGCUCUGUUCUUGGUGAAGAUAAUGACGGUAGCCAAGGAGAAAGCUCCGGCUAACUACGUGCCAGCAGCCGCGGUAAUACGUAGGGAGCAAGCGUUGUCCGGAAUUACUGGGUGUAAAGGGUGCGUAGGCGGCUCUGCAAGUCAGGCGUGAAAACCAGAGGCUCAACCUCUGGACUGCGUUUGAAACUGUGGGGCUUGAGUGGAGUAGAGGCAGGCGGAAUUCCCGGUGUAGCGGUGAAAUGCGUAGAGAUCGGGAGGAACACCAGUGGCGAAGGCGGCCUGCUGGGCUUUAACUGACGCUGAGGCACGAAAGCAUGGGUAGCAAACA
rnacentral:rRNA from 1 species